AUUGAACGCUGGCGGCAUGCUUUACACAUGCAAGUCGAGCGCCCCGCAAGGGGAGCGGCAGACGGGUGAGUAACACGUGGGAACAUACCCAUCUCUGCGGAACAACUCCGGGAAACUGGAGCUAAUACCGCAUACGCCCUUCGGGGGAAAGAUUUAUCGGAGAUGGAUUGGCCCGCGUUGGAUUAGCUAGUUGGUGGGGUAAGGGCCUACCAAGGCGACGAUCCAUAGCUGGUCUGAGAGGAUGAUCAGCCACAUUGGGACUGAGACACGGCCCAAAAGCCUACGGAAGGCAGCAGUGGGGAAUAUUGGACAAUGGGCGCAAGCCUGAUCCAGCCAUGCCGCGUGAGUGAUGAAGGCCUUAGGGUUGUAAAGCUCUUUCACCGAUGAAGAUAAUGACGGUAGUCGGAGAAGAAGCCCCGGCUAACUUCGUGCCAGCCGCCGCGGUAA
rnacentral:rRNA from 1 species